GUUUGCAGUUUAUGUCAUUGUGACUUUGAAUUUAUUUUUCCUAUGAUGUUCAAGAAUAAGUAUACUUAUUUUAUGUUGGUGAUUAUGAGACUUGAUGUGCUCAUAUAUAUUUUUUUAAUAUAUGCUGGUAUAUCAAGUAUCAUAGAUGCCCAUAAUAAUAAGUCAUAUAUUUUCUGAAAUCCUUAUGAUGAUUAAAUUGGGGAUAUUUAUUGUGUUGAAAUUAAACUCUUCACCUCUGCCUCAAGCAUCCAAUCGAACUCUUUACUCUGAUUCGAAACCAUCAAGCAUUCAAAGAUCCUAUAUAUGUUGCGUAUCAUGAUGAAGAUUGGGAAGUUCCUUUCUUAUUGACAUUUUGUGCAGUUGGAGAAAAUGACCAAAAGUUAUAGUACAAAAGACUAAGAACAUGAAGAAAUAGAAAGAAAGAAUUCAAAGAAAUAAAACCAAAACUGGUUACACUGCCAAAGGAAAAGAAAGGGAGACGUUUGAUUUGAAGUUGAGAAUUAGAGAGAUUUUUUGUAUUUUUUUGUAAUUUGAGAAUUUAUAUUAUUGUAACUUUGUAUUUUGAUUUUAAACUUGCAAUUUUAUUAAAUUUCAAAUUUAAGUAAUGUACAAUUUAUAUAUUUAUUUUUA